rnacentral:rRNA from 1 species
AGGACGAACGCUGGCGGCGUGCCUAAUACAUGCAAGUCGAACGGUCUUUCUAUGGAAGCUUGCUUCCACUGAGGAGAUAGUGGCGAACGGGUGAGUAACACGUGGGUAACCUGCCCAUAAGAGGGGGAUAACAUCCGGAAACGGGUGCUAAUACCGCAUAGUUUUCUUGAUCGCAUGAUCGGGAAAGGAAAGACGGCCUUUGUGCUGUCGCUUAUGGAUGGACCCGCGGCGUAUUAGUUAGUUGGUGAGGUAACGGCUCACCAAGACGAUGAUACGUAGCCGACCUGAGAGGGUGAUCGGCCACAUUGGGACUGAGACACGGCCCAAACUCCUACGGGAGGCAGCAGUAGGGAAUCUUCCGCAAUGGACGAAAGUCUGACGGAGCAACGCCGCGUGAGUGAAGAAAAGGUUUUCGGAUCGUAAAACUCUGUUGUCAGAGAAGAACAAGUUGGAGAGUAACUGCUCCAGCCUUGACGGUAUCUGACCAGAAAGCCACGGCUAACUACGUGCCAGCCGCCGC